AAGUUUGAUGGCGACCGGCGCACGGGUGAGUAACACGUAUCCAACCUGCCGAUGACUCGGGGAUAGCCUUUCGAAAGAAAGAUUAAUACCCGAUGGCAUAGUCUUCCGCAUGGUAGAACUAUUAAAGAAUUUCGGUCAUCGAUGGGGAUGCGUUCCAUUAGGUUGUUGGCGGGGUAACGGCCCACCAAGCCUUCGAUGGAUAGGGGUUCUGAGAGGAAGGUCCCCCACAUUGGAACUGAGACACGGUCCAAACUCCUACGGGAGGCAGCAUG
rnacentral:rRNA from 1 species